rnacentral:lncRNA from 1 species
AGUUUUUGAUAAACAAAAAUUCAGAAACUUUUGAUGUAAUAAGAAAUUAAAAUUUUUGUUAAUUAUUAUUGCAGAAAUUUGCUGACGAAUUUUUUACAGAGAGUUCUUGUUAGCUAUGUAUUAUUGGACUAAAAUAGAUCCAACUUCCUGUUCCGUGACAAUAGGCUCAGCAAACUAAUAAGUUGAGUUGGAUGAGUCUAAUAAGUUGAGUGGAGGUGUGGUCCAUAAAAAACCUAACGGCAAGAGGCUCAACAAUAGACCCAAUGUUUAGAUAGCUUGAGUCUGGUCGAAACCCCCAAGCACUGUGACUGAGCCUUUAUAUGCGAUGGGUGUGCCCUUCCUAUCAGCAUGUAUUUUUGAGAUA